CCUACGGGAGGCAGCAGUGGGGAAUUUUGCGCAAUGGGGGAAACCCUGACGCAGCAACGCCGCGUGCGGGACGACGGCCCUCGGGUUGUAAACCGCUUUCAGCAGGGAAGAUCCAAGACGGUACCUGCAGAAGAAGCUCCGGCGAACUACGUGCCAGCAGCCGCGGUCAUACGGAGGUGGCGAGCGUUAGCCGGAACGAUUGGGCGUAAAGGGGGCGUAGGCGGCCUGCUAAGUCUGGGGUGGAAGGUACCGGCUCAACCGGUACGGGACGUGGAAACUGGCGGGCUAGAGGGCGCGAGAGGGAGGUGGAACGACAUGUGUAGCGGUGAAAUGCGUAGAUAUAUGGAAGAACACCGGUGGCGAAGGCGGCCGCCUGGCCUGUUACUGACGCUGAGGCACGAAAGCGUGGGGAGCAAAUAGGAUUAGAUACCCCAGUAGUC
rnacentral:rRNA from 1 species